rnacentral:tRNA from 1 species
UACCCUAUGGCUCAGUUGGCUAGCGCGUGGAGCUGUUACUCUUUAACAAACUCCGAGGUCCACGGUUCGAGCCCGUGUGGGGUAG